CGGCGGACGGGUGAGUAACGCGUGGGUAACCUGCCUCAUACAGGGGGAUAACAGUUAGAAAUGACUGCUAAUACCGCAUAAGACCACAGCACCGCAUGGUGCGGGGGUAAAAACUCCGGUGGUGUGAGAUGGACCCGCGUCUGAUUAGCUAGUUGGUAAGGUAACGGCUUACCAAGGCGACGAUCAGUAGCCGACCUGAGAGGGUGACCGGCCACAUUGGGACUGAGACACGGCCCAA
rnacentral:rRNA from 1 species